UGCAGUCGAGCGCCCCGCGGGGAGCGGCAACUGACUGAGUAACGCGUGGGAAUCUACCCUUUUCUACGGAAUAACGCAGGGAAACUUGUGCUAAUACCGUAUACGCCCUUCGGGGGAAACAUUUAUCGGGAAAGGAUGAGCCCGCGUUGGAUUACCUACUUGGUGGGGUAAAGGCCUACCAAGGCGACGAUCCAUAGCUGGUCUGAGAGGAGGAUCAACCACAUUGGGACUGAAACACGGCCCAAACUCCUACGGGAGGCAGCAGUGGGGAAUAUUGGACAAUGGGCGCAAGCCUGAUCCAUCCAUGCCGCGUGAGUGAUGAAGGCCCUAGGGUUGUAAAGCUCUUUCACCGGUGAAGAUAAUGACGGUCACCGGAGAAGAAGCCCCGGCUAACUUCGUGCCUACA
rnacentral:rRNA from 1 species